rfam:Anolis carolinensis chromosome Tnknown cont2.38481, whole genome shotgun sequence.
ACUUGCUUAAAUACCCUUAAGGAACCAGAAUCCAUCUGUUCUUGGAAACUAAUCAGGAUCCGUCCAGGUUAGUACUAGGAUGGGAGACUAGCAAUGAAUACCAGGAUUUGUAGGCU